UACGAAGGGGACUAGCGUUGUUCGGAAUCACUGGGCGUAAAGGGUGCGUAGGCGGGUCUUUAAGUCGGGGGUGAAAUCCUGGAGCUCAACUCCAGAACUGCCUUCGAUACUGGAAGACUUGAGUCCGGGAGAGGUGAGUGGAACUGCGAGUGUAGAGGUGAAAUUCGUAGAUAUUCGCAAGAACACCAGUGGCGAAGGCGGCUCACUGGCCCGAUACUGACGCUGAGGCACGAAAGCGUGGGGAGCAAACAGG
rnacentral:rRNA from 1 species